AUACGGCCAUAUCACGCUGAAACACCGGUGUCCGUACGCUCACCAAAGUUAAGCAACGUCGUGUCAGGUCAGUAUCGAGAUGGGUUACCGCUUGGGAAUACCAGGUGCUGUAAG
rnacentral:rRNA from 1 species